AGUGAACGCUGGCGGUAGGCCUAACACAUGCAAGUCGAACGGCAGCACAGUAAGAGCUUGCUCUUACGGGUGGCGAGUGGCGGACGGGUGAGGAAUACAUCGGAAUCUACUUUUUCGUGGGGGAUAACGUAGGGAAACUUACGCUAAUACCGCAUACGACCUACGGGUGAAAGCAGGGGAUCUUCGGACCUUGCGCGAUUGAAUGAGCCGAUGUCGGAUUAGCUAGUUGGCGGGGUAAAGGCCCACCAAGGCGACGAUCCGUAGCUGGUCUGAGAGGAUGAUCAGCCACACUGGAACUGAGAAAAGGUCCAGACUCCGACGGGAGGCAGCAGUGGGGAAUAUUGGACAAUGGGCGCAAGCCAGAUCCAGCCAUACCGCGUGGGUGAAGAAGGCCUGCGGGUUGUAAAGCCCUUUUGUUGGGACAGAAAAGCAGCAGGUUGAUACCCCGCUGUUCUGACGGUACCCAAAGAAUAAGCAACGGCUAACUUCGUG
rnacentral:rRNA from 1 species